rnacentral:rRNA from 1 species
UACGGAGGAUGCAAGCGUUAUCCGGAAUGAUUGGGCGUAAAGGGUCCGCAGGUGGCAAUGUAAGUCUGCUGUCAAAGAAUGAGGCUUAACCUCAUCAAGGCAGUGGAAACUACAUAGCUAGAGUACGGUCGGGGUAGAAGGAAUUCCUGGUGUAGCGGUGAAAUGCGUAGAGAUCAGAAAGAACACCGGUGGCGAAAGCGCUCUGCUGGACCUUAACUGACACUGAGGGACGAAAGCUAGGGGAGCGAAUGGG